rnacentral:rRNA from 1 species
GAUGAACGCUGACAGAAUGCUUAACACAUGCGAGUCAACUUGAAUUUGGGUUUUUAACUUAGGUUUGGGUGGCGGACGGGUGAGUAACGCGUAAAGAACUUGCCUCACAGCUAGGGACAACAUUUGGAAACGAAUGCUAAUACCUAAUAUUAUGAUAAUAGGGCAUCCUAUAAUUAUGAAAGCUAUAAGCGCUGUGAGAGAGCUUUGCGUCCCAUUAGCUAGUUGGAGAGGUAACGGCUCACCAAGGCGAUGAUGGGUAGCCGGCCUGAGAGGGUGAUCGGCUACAAGGGGACUGGGACACGGCCCUUACGCCUUCGGGAGGCAGCGGUGGGGAAUAUUGGACAAUGGACCGAGAGUCUGAUCCAGCAAUUCUGUGUGCACGAUGAAGUUUUUCGGAAUGUAAAGUGCUUUCAGUUGGGAAGAAACAAAUGACGGUACCAACAGAAGAAGUGACGGCUAAAUACGUG